rnacentral:rRNA from 1 species
UACGUAGGGUGCGAGCGUUAAUCGGAAUUACUGGGCGUAAAGCGUACGCAGGCGGCUAUGCAAGACAGAUGUGAAAUCCCCGGGCUCAACCUGGGAACUGCAUUUGUGACUGCAUAGCUAGAGUCCGUAAGAGGGGGGUGGAAUUCCACGUGUAGCAGUGAAAUGCGUAGAGAUGUGGAGGAACACCGAUGGCGAAGGCAGCCCCCUGGGAUGAGACUGACGCUCAUGUACGAAAGCGUGGGGAGCAAAC